rnacentral:sRNA from 1 species
AUCUGAUGCAAGACGUGAAGGAUGUGAACCUGCAGCAGGUUCGGUUGAGCAAAGCGAAACAACGUUGCCAUAAGCAACGGGCCGUCAGGCCGAGGGACGCCGAGUCAUCCUGCACGACCCACCA